AUUGAACGCUGGCGGCAUGCCUUACACAUGCAAGUCGAACGGUAACGCGGGGCAACCUGGCGACGAGUGGCGAACGGGUGAGUAAAGUAUCGGAACGUGCCCAAUAGUGGGGGAUAGCCCGGCGAAAGCCGGAUUAAUACCGCAUGAGACCUGAGGGUGAAAGCGGGGGACUCGCAAGAGCCUCGCGCUGUUGGAGCGGCCGAUAUCAGAUUAGGUAGUUGGUGGGGUAAAGGCCUACCAAGCCGACGAUCUGUAGCUGGUCUGAGAGGACGACCAGCCACACUGGGACUGAGACACGGCCCAGACUCCUACGGGAGGCAGCAGUGGGGAAUUUUGGACAAUGGGCGCAAGCCUGAUCCAGCCAUGCCGCGUGCGGGAAGAAGGCCUCGGUUGUAACGAC
rnacentral:rRNA from 1 species